rnacentral:ribozyme from 12 species
UUGCAGAAAGAGUUGCGUGAACUUGAAGAACCGAUUACAAUAAACGUCGUAUAGAUAGAAGAAAAGGAGUAGAACUGAAAUGUGUAGUAUUUCUCUCUUUCUCCGUUAACAAUUAUUUCCUUUUCUGGUUAUAUUGCUUUCUUUUUUUCUCCAUU